rnacentral:rRNA from 1 species
GUGGGGAAUCUUGGACAAUGGGGGCAACCCUGAUCCAGCCAUGCCGCGUGAGUGAUGAAGGCCCUAGGGUUGUAAAACUCUUUCGCGCACGACGAUAAUGACGGUAGUGCGAGAAGAAGCUCCGGCUAACUUCGUGCCAGCAGCCGCGGUAAUACGAAGGGGGCUAGCGUUGUUCGGAUUUACUGGGCGUAAAGCGCGCGCAGGCGGUCCUUCAAGUCAGGGGUGAAAGCCCAGAGCUCAACUCUGGAACUGCCUUUGAGACUGUAGGACUUGGGUAUGGGAGAGGUGAGUGGAAUUCCGAGUGUAGAGGUGAAAUUCGUAGAUAUUCGGAAGAACACCAGUGGCGAAGGCGGCUCACUGGCCCAUUACCGACGCUCAGGCGCGAUAGCGUGGGGAGCAAACAGGAUUAGAUACCCUUGUAGUCC